rnacentral:rRNA from 1 species
GACGAACGCUGGCGGCGUGCUUAACACAUGCAAGUCGAACGAAGUGGCGAACGGGUGAGUAACGCGUAAUCAACCUGCACUUAAGAGGGGAACAACAGUUGGAAACGACUGCUAAUACCGAAUACUGAAGCAGGUGGGUGGGGGGGUUUAGCUCGUUGGAGGGGUAACGGCCCACCAAGGCGAGGAUCAGUAGCCGGGCUGAGAGGAUGAACGGCCAAAAUGGGAACGAGACACGGCCCAGAACUCCACGGGAGGCAGCAGUGGGGAAUUUUCCGAAAUGGACGAAAGUCUGACGGAGCAACGCCGCGGGAGUGAUGACGGCCUUCGGGGUGUAAAGCUCUGUUAAUCGGGACGCGGUACCGGAAUAGAAAGCCACGGCUAACUACGUGCCAGCAGCCGCGGUAAUAC